GAGUUGGGGGAGAGGACCAGAACCACCUGCUGGAGAAGGGGAGCUACGGGGGCCGGGCAGGGUCCAAACGCCUCACGUAGGCGGCGGCGCCACGGUCUUCGGGGUCACAGGGAAGAGAAGGGCUCUCCUCAAGCGGGUGGAAGGAGGGAGGCCUCCCGAGGGAGUGAGACUCUAGGCCACUCCCCCGCAGCAAGGCAGGAUCACCUGCGACGCGGAGAGCGGUUAGAGGGCCCUGGAGUGGAAAAGGGCAGUGGGACCUGGUAGCUUGGGUUCCCUGCAACUUGGGGUUCGACCUCCAGGCAAUGAAGUAGGGAUGGUCCUGCAAGUCAAGAUUCCAGUAGCAAGAGUGCAUCAGAUCUCUGUAAGGAAAAUAACUAACAUUGCUCAGUUCCCUGUAGAGUUGCAGGGCGCUUUAACGUUAUCUCCCUUGGUUCUCCAUCAGGUCGUAGUGGACUAAUUUUACAGGCGAAGUUAAGUGACUUACCCAAAACCUCACAGCUAAUAAACGGCAGAGCCGGCACCCAGCUGUACUGGCUUCCAAUUCUGUUAGCUUACCAGCGCAUCACAUUAUCUCCAUAAAUCCCCAUGAUUCAACUAAUAUUAGACGCCCCACAGGUAAGAUGCUUCAGAGUUAGAGGGGAGUUGAAGAUACCUUUGCCUUCAAAGAAGUAAGGAAUAAAACAAAGAUAAAACAGACAAUAAAAGACAAACCAUGAUAGGUGCCACGUGAAAAGUGGCAGAGUACUGCCGGGAAUCAAAGAACCGUGUAUAUCUGUCUUGGGGAUAAGGAAAGAAAGGCAGCAUGAAGGAGUAGGCAUUUGGGAUUGACCUUGAAGGAGACAGGGAGAGUUUUACAGCAAGCAGGGAUAGCAUGAGAAUAUAUAUGAAGGCGAAUCAGUGAAAGUUGUGUUGGGGAAAGAGCAAAGACUCCAGGGUAUGUUGAGAGGUAGAAAAGACAAAGGAGUAUGGGGCCUAAGAUACCAAAUGGAUGAAUUUAUAUUUAAUUCAGUAUUUUGAGUUUUUAUGGUUCAGAAGUUUGGGGGAAGAAAAGGAAGGUUUUUUUUUUUCUUUGUGCUAGUGAUUUAUCUGUGAGGGGAAGCAGAAAUCAGAGGUGGAAAAACGGACAGAUCUACUGUAGGCCAGGUAAAAAUGAUGAGUCUGACCUAAAGGGACAGCUAGGGGAAUUUAAAAGAGCAUAGUUGAGAGAUGAUGUGCAUGCAGUAUCUAUAGAAUUUGGCAACUGAUUGAUUAAUUGUGGGUAGGAAGAGAGAAAUCAAAGAAAGUGGAGGUUUUGAGUUUGUAGAUAAUUGCAAGAGAGAAAAGAGACAAUUACAAAGGAGAGGGAGCUACUUCUUGAGAGAUCAGUUUAGAUUUGGACAUUUUAAGAAUUCAAAGGGUUGUCAAGACAGCCAGAGAGACAUGGACACUAAUAAGUUAGAAAUAAAGGUUUUGUAAUAUGGGAAAGAGGACUGAACUAGAAAAUAGACUCAUAAAUAAUCAGCCUAGGAGUGAUAUUGCUGUGAGAUAAAAGAAGAAAACAAAGGUCAGAAUCUUGGAAAACACCCUCUUUAGAGUCUCGCUACUCAAAACGUGGUCAGUGGCCCAGCAGCACUGACAUGAGGAUGUUAGUUAGAAACUCAGAAUCUCAGGCUCCACCCCAGACCUGCUGAACCAGCAUCUUCAACUUAACAAGAACCCGAAGAGAUUUGUGUCACAUCAAAAAGUUUGAGAAGCUCUGAUCUAGGUGAGCCAAGCCAGCAAAGAAAGGGGAUGGAGCAGAAAAUGGGAGGAGAAUAGGGUAACGCAGAAUCAUCAAGACAAGGUAAAUUGGAGUUUCACAAAAACAGGGCUGGAAGGAGUGUUGCUCAACAAUAUCCAAAACCACAGAGGUUGAAAAGCACAAGGAAAGAAGGUAUGUUUGCACUUUGUGAUUAGGUAGUAGGGUCUUUGAGACCACAUUGUUCUUAUUGAAAGCCUGGGAAGAAAGAUCCCCUUUCUGGUCAAGUUUAGUCUAGGGAUCCAUCCCAUCUUCCCCAGUUCCCACGUGUAUGGGACAUGUCGAGAUAAGUAGAUAGAUUGGACAGUGGGAGAAAGUAGUUCUCUUCCAGUUGCUUCUAUUUUCUCAGCAAAGUGAGGAGCAAGAUCAUUUUGGCAGACUGCUAAUUGUCCAUCACAAUUUAGUCUCCCUUUCUCCCUGAAAACACAGACUGCUUUUCUCAGCCUCUCUUUCAGUUGCAUAUGGUCAAGUAUUAAGUUAUAGAACGUGAGCAGAUGUUAUGUCUGCCACUGUCAGGCCAAGGCGUUUACUUUGAGAGUACUUGUGCCUCUUUCAUGCAUUUUCCUUUCUGCCAGCUGGACCCUGGACACGGUGACUCUGAUUCAAUUAUGCAGAUGACCACAAACCUCUGGGGUUGGCAGAGCCACAAGAAAGAAGGUGCCUGGAUGAAGGAGAGCUACCCACUGACCUGGACACCCAAUUAUAGGAUAGACAGUGAAGUGCAACUACAGCCCGCAAAUGAAAAUGAAUAAUAUUAAUCCAGCCCCUCAAGGCAGGCGAGUAGCUGCUGUCAUCUGUCUUAGAGCUAUUGGAAUCCUGGAUCAUUGUGGGAAAUGAAAGGAACUGGUUUUUAGCAAGGAGACCAAGAAACUCUACUCCCUAGGGGCUAGCAAUGAGAGAAAGGAAGCCUUAAGUCUUUGAGCACAGGGUGACAGUUUGGGUCCUAUGUGAGAUGAUCAAAUCCACAGCAACAGAGGAAAGGACAAAAGGAAAAGGCAUCUUGCAUGUGAAUAACUCACAACUUUAAUUCAUGGAACAAAUUGAGAAAUAGUCUUUUGGGGGUUUGGUACUCCCUGGAAACAUAAGAGUGCUUUGGGCACCUCUGGUGCCUUUCCAUGCCUGCCUUCUCUGCUGUUCUUGCUACUAGUGAAUUCUAAAUCAUGGCCAAGUGAUGCCAGCACUGGAUAAUAUUGGCUCUGCCCCAUAUCUCGAGGGAAAACUCUAGGACUUGGCAUUAUAUGUGUGGGAAUCUGGCCUUGGUUGGCACUCCCAGCAUGAUAGCGGGGUUCUCCUGUCUGAAUGUACUCUGGGGUGUGCGCCACAAUUUCUGUCAUCGAAAUGGAGAUGAGAGAAUAUGCCCUUGGUGGGGACACCCCACUGGAAUUAGAGUGAAGAGAUCAAAGCUAGAGGUUCUUAAAUCAAAGAAUAUCUAAUAGCAAAGACAAAAACUUGCUUAAGGGAAAUGCAUACAAGUACUAGACCUAAUAUGAUGAAAAAUGCCAACUUCAAUAUAUUGAUGCAUGCUUAGUACACUUUCAGUCCUGCAAAGACAAAGUUUUUUGUUGUUUUUUUUUUGAGACGGAGUCUCGCUCUGUCGCCCAGGUUGGAGUGC
rnacentral:lncRNA from 1 species